CAAUUCAGCUAGAGUUAGAUUGGUUAUUUAACAUUCAGUUUUUCUCUUCCACUUAAAAUUUUUAACAAUGUAGGAGAUGCUGGGGGACUGGGACUGUGGUGAUGUUGAUUUGGAGUUCUGAGCAGGUAAUAUAUUUUGUAUGGCUGAAUGUUUGUAGUAUCAAAAACUUCCUUAAUGAUAUUUGUUUCCCUUCCACUAAUUCUGCUUCAGUUUCUGUUGCUGUAGUUUGGGAGAUCUAUCAAAAAAUACUCAUGUGAGUUACACAGUGUUUGCAAAGGACCACAUCAAGUUUUCACAGAGAAGCAAUGUACUUUCCUCAUAACCAGUCAGCAGUAGAGCACCUGCUCUUCUUGGAAGGAACUUCAGCACAUGGCUGUUGCAAAUAGUAUUUUGUCAGGCUGGGCACAAGUCUACAGAUUCUGAUUUGGCAAUACUCACCGAGGUCUCCACCUGGAGAAGCCAGGCAUAGGAAACAGCAGGUCUGAAAUCCCUCCUGAUGUUGCUCAGGGCGCUGACCCUAAAGUGUGUCCUAUGGAGGGCAGGAGGCUCAGGCAACUCCACCCUGCCACUGCCACCAG